CAUGAUAAUAAUCAGUUAAUAUUUAGUAUAAGAUAAGUAUGCAAUACAAUGGAAUGGCUUAACACAUUACAAAGGUACAAAACUUCACACAGCCCAGCCAUGAAACCUUGGCUAACAGUUAAAUCAACUGAGUAACCCUUUCAAUGCUGACUAGAUCCUCCUAGGCAUAUAAUAACCUAUUCUCAUGUAAUUUUCAAUUAAAAUAACAUUCAAACCAGCUCAUUAAUCAUUUCCUGGAACCAUCCAAUAAGAAUAAUCUACCAGAUUUUUACAAAAUCCGAAUUUUAAUUUGCCUAAAAAGAUAUCUUAUCUUAUAUUAGAGCAAAUCAAUACACCUGGAUAAAAACAACGGUAUGCUAACACAUAAUACUAUCACAUUUCCAGCUGCAGAAUGGAAUGUUUAUAACUAUAUAUUCUUUAGUUAACUAAGAUUUCU